GGGGUUGUAGCUCAGUGGCUGAGUGCUCACCUCACAUGCGUGAGGCACUGGGUUCGAUCCUCAGUACCACA
rnacentral:tRNA from 1 species